AAGGUGGGGAGUGACGUCAAUCAUCAUGCCCCUUAUGACCUGGGCUACACACGUGCUACAAUGGUUGGUACAACGAGUUGCGAGUCGGUGACGGCGAGCUAAUCUCUUAAAGCCAAUCUCAGUUCGGAUUGUAGGCUGCAACUCGCCUACAUGAAGUCGGAAUCGCUAGUAAUCGCGGAUCAGCACGCCGCGGUCGAAUACGUUCCCGGGCCUU
rnacentral:rRNA from 1 species